GAUGAAGAACGUAGCGAAAUGCGAUACUUGGUGUGAAUUGCAGAAUCCCGUGAACCAUCGAGUCUUUGAACGCAAGUUGCGCCCGAAGCCAUCAGGUUGAGGGCACGUCUGCCUGGGCGUCACAUAUCGUUGCCCAAUGCCUAUUGCAGUGCAAUAGGAAUUUCUAGGGCGAAUCAUGGCUUCCCGUGAGCGUUGUUGCCUCGCGGUUGGUUGAAAAUCGAGUCCUUGGUAGGGUGUGCCAUGGUAGAUGGUGGUCGAGUUAGAACGAUACCGAUCAUGUGCAUGCUCCCCAAAAUAUGGCCUCUAUGACCCACACGCGUCUUUUGACGCUCAUGACGAGACCUCAGGUCAGGCGGGGCUACCCGCUGAAUUUAAGCAUAUCAAUAAGCGGAGGA
rnacentral:misc_RNA from 1 species